rnacentral:ncRNA from 1 species
AGAGGUCUGUGAUGCCCUUAGACGUUCUGGGCCGCACGCGCGCUACACUGACGGAGCCAGCGAGCUUUUCCUUAGCCGAGAGGUUUGGGUAAUCUUGUGAAACUCCGUCGUGCUGGGGAUAGAGCAUUGUAAUUAUUGCUCUUCAACGAGGAAUUCCUAGUAAGCGCAAGUCAUCAGCUUGCGUUGAUUACGUCCCUGCCCUUUGUACACACCGCCCGUCGCUAGUACCGAUUGAAUGGCUUAGUGAGGCUUUCAGGAUUUGCUUAGAUCGAGGGGCAACUCUCUUUCAGAGCGGAGAAUCUAGUCAAACUUGGUCAUUUAGAGGAACUAAAAGUCGUAACAAGGUUUCCGUAGGUGAACCUGCGGAAGGAUCAUUA